rnacentral:rRNA from 2 species
AAUACAUGGCAAGUCGGAGCGAACUGAUUAGAAGCUUGCUUCUAUGACGUUAGCGGCGGACGGGUGAGUAACACGUGGGCAACCUGCCUGUAAGACUGGGAUAACUUCGGGAAACCGAAGCUAAUACCGGAUAGGAUCUUCUCCUUCAUGGGAGAUGAUUGAAAGAUGGUUUCGGCUAUCACUUACAGAUGGGCCCGCGGUGCAUUAGCUAGUUGGUGAGGUAACGGCUCACCAAGGCAACGAUGCAUAGCCGACCUGAGAGGGUGAUCGGCCACACUGGGACUGAGACACGGCCCAGACUCCUACGGGAGGCAGCAGUAGGGAAUCUUCCGCAAUGGACGAAAGUCUGACGGAGCAACGCCGCGUGAGUGAUGAAGGCUUUCGGGUCGUAAAACUCUGUUGUUAGGGAAGAACAAGUACGAGAGUAACUGCUUGUACCUUGACGGUACCUAACCAGAAAGCCACGGCUAACUACGUGCCAGCAGCCGCGGUAAUACGUAGGUGGCAAGCGUUAUCCGGAAUUAUUGGGCGUAAAGCGCGCGCAGGCGGUUUCUUAAGUCUGAUGUGAAAGCCCACGGCUCAACCGUGGAGGGUCAUUGGAAACUGGGGAACUUGAGUGCAGAAGAGAAAAGCGGAAUUCCACGUGUAGCGGUGAAAUGCGUAGAGAUGUGGAGGAACACCAGUGGCGAAGGCGGCUUUUUGGUCUGUAACUGACGCUGAGGCGCGAAAGCGUGGGGAGCAAACAGGAUUAGAUACU